AGCAGGUUAGGUACUUGUUAGAUACAGGACAUAACUGUUUUUAUCUAGUUGAGAAGGGAGAUGUGAUGAGGUGAAAACUCAAUUUCUGAACUUGCCAGGUCACUUGAAAAGAUUGUAGAAAUCUCCAGCACUCUUUGGCUUGUGGACACUUUAGUUUCAGAACCAGAAAAAUGGAGUAUGUCUCAUGCUGCCUUGCUCUGAUCUUCAGUAUCCUCCUCCUUCUCCUUUAUGAAAUAUUGUAGCUACUCUGGCCUAUGUGGACCAUCCAGGACAUUCCCUUCAAUUCAAAGUCAACUGAUUAAAACAUGAAUUGCAUCCUCAA